AUUUUCGAGAGUUUGAUCCUGGCUCAGGACGAACGCUGGCGGCGUGCCUAAUACAUGCAAGUCGCACGGGCUCCUUCGGGGGUCAGUGGCGGACGGGUGAGAAACACG
rnacentral:rRNA from 1 species